rnacentral:lncRNA from 1 species
GACUGAAUCAACCCAAGAAGUGAAGUUCACUGCCAAGAUCACAGUAAACAGUGAAGCUGAGAGUCAAAGCCAGGCUCUGUCAGACCUGAAGUCCUCAUGCUUUAAAGGGCACUGUGAAUCCCUAAGAAGGGGAUAUGAUAUGCAGCAUUCCUAGACUUAAGCAGCCAUGGAUCCUUCUUCUAGUCAGGGUUCUGCAGAGUAACUUUGGGAAACACUGUUCUUUCUUCCUACCAAGAUGCAGUAAAGGGUCCUGCACUGGAUGAAGAGCAGCAAGAGCUGGAGGCUGAGCAGGUGAAGUCCAGAUGCUUCCAGGCCCAGCAUCACCUCAUUUUGUAAGGCAUGUACAUGUCAUCGUGUUCAAAUGCAGAUUCUGAUUCUGCAAGUCUGGAGUAGGGCCUGCAGCUCCACCUUUCUAACAAGCUCCCAAGUUAUGUUGUUGCUCCUGGUCCUAGGACCACUCUACGAAGGGCAAGUUUCUAGAGAAUAAAUGGGCCAUGCAAACCCCUCCACCCACCUACUGGG